UACGGGGGGAGCAAGCGUUGUUCGGAUUUACUGGGCGUAAAGGGCGCGUAGGCGGCCUCUGCAAGUCGACUGUGAAAUCUCCGGGCUUAACCCGGAACGGUCAGCCGAUACUGCAGGGCUAGAGUGCAGAAGGGGCAACUGGAAUUCUCGGUGUAGCGGUGAAAUGCGUAGACAUCGAGAGGGACACCUGCGGCGAAGGCGGGUUGCUGGGCUGACACUGACGCUGAGGCGCGAAAGCUAGGGGAGCGAACGGG
rnacentral:rRNA from 1 species